GGUUAAGUGACUAAGCGUACAUGGUGGAUGCCUUGGCAGUCAGAGGCGAUGAAGGACGUACUAACCUGCGAUAAGCUGUGAGAAGUCGGUAAGAGACGCUAAUUACUCACAGAUUUCCGAAUGGGGAAACCCACCCAAGAUAACUUGGGUAUCGUUACAUGAAUACAUAGUGUAACGAGGCGAACCGGGAGAACUGAAACAUCUAAGUACCCCGAGGAAAAGAAAUCAACCGAGAUUCCCUCAGUAGCGGCGAGCGAACGGGGAUUAGCCCUUAAGCAUCUUGGAAGUUAGUGGAACGGUCCUGGAAAGGCCGGCGAUACAGGGUGAUAGCCCCGUACACGAAAACAACCUUGAUGUGAAAUCGAGUAGGGCGGGACACGUGACAUCCUGUCUGAAUAUGGGGGGACCAUCCUCCAAGGCUAAAUACUCCUGACUGACCGAUAGUGAACCAGUACCGUGAGGGAAAGGCGAAAAGAACCCCUGUGAGGGGAGUGAAAUAGAACCUGAAACCGUGUACGUACAAGCAGUGGGAGCCCUUCGGGGUGACUGCGUACCUUUUGUAUAAUGGGUCAGCGACUUACAUUUUGUAGCGAGGUUAACCGUAUAGGGGAGCCGUAGGGAAACCGAGUCUUAACUGGGCGUCUAGUUGCAAGGUGUAGACCCGAAACCGGGUGAUCUAGCCAUGGGCAGGUUGAAGGUUGAGUAACAUCAACUGGAGGACCGAACCCACUAACGUUGCAAAGUUAGGGGAUGACCUGUGGCUGGGGGUGAAAGGCCAAUCAAACUCGGAGAUAGCUGGUUCUCCCCGAAAGCUAUUUAGGUAGCGCCUCGGACGAAUACUACUGGGGGUAGAGCACUGUUUGGGCUAGGGGGUCAUCCCGACUUACCAACCCCAUGCAAACUCCGAAUACCAGUAAGUACUAUCCGGGAGACACACGGCGGGUGCUAACGUCCGUCGUGAAGAGGGAAACAACCCAGACCGCCGGCUAAGGUCCCAAAGUUCUGGUUAAGUGGGAAACGAUGUGGGAAGGCUCAGACAGCUAGGAUGUUGGCUUAGAAGCAGCCAUCAUUUAAAGAAAGCGUAAUAGCUCACUAGUCGAGUCGGCCUGCGCGGAAGAUGUAACGGGGCUCAAACCAGGCACCGAAGCCGCGGAUUUGCACUUAGUGCAAGUGGUAGGGGAGCGUUCUGUAAGUCUGCGAAGGUGUAUCGAGAGGUAUGCUGGAGAUAUCAGAAGUGCGAAUGCUGACGUAAGUAACGAUAAAGGGGGUGAAAAGCCUCCUCGCCGGAAGACCAAGGGUUCCUGUCCAACGUUAAUCGGGGCAGGGUGAGUCGACCCCUAAGGUGAGGCCGAAAGGCGUAAUCGAUGGGAAGCAGGUUAAUAUUCCUGCACGACUUGUAAUUGCGAUGGGGGGACGGAGAAGGCUAGGUGGGCCAGGCGACGGUUGUCCUGGUGAAAGUGCGUAGGUGGUGUUUCUAGGCAAAUCCGGAGACACAACACUGAGACACGAGACGAACACACUACGGUGUGGAAGCCAUUGAUGCCCUGCUUCCAGGAAAAGCCUCUAAGCUUCAGAUUACAAGUCAUCGUACCCCAAACCGACACAGGUGGUCGGGUAGAGAAUACCAAGGCGCUUGAGAGAACUCGGGUGAAGGAACUAGGCAAAAUAGAACCGUAACUUCGGGAGAAGGUUCGCUCUUGACAGUGAAGUCCCUUGCGGAUGGAGCAGUUGGGAGUCGCAGUGACCAGAUGGCUGGGACUGUUUAUCAAAAACACAGCACUCUGCAAACACGAAAGUGGACGUAUAGGGUGUGACACCUGCCCGGUGCCGGAAGGUUAAUUGAUGGGGUUAGCGCAAGCGAAGCUCUUGAUCGAAGCCCCGGUAAACGGCGGCCGUAACUAUAACGGUCCUAAGGUAGCGAAAUUCCUUGUCGGGUAAGUUCCGACCUGCACGAAUGGUGUAACCAUGGCCAUGCUGUCUCCACCCGAGACUCAGUGAAAUCGAAUUCGCCGUGAAGAUGCGGUGUACCCGCGGCUAGACGGAAAGACCCCGUGAACCUUUACUACAGCUUGGCACUGAACAUUGAACCUACAUGUGUAGGAUAGGUGGGAGGCUUUGAAGGCGUGACGCCAGUUGCGCUGGAGCCGUCCUUGAAAUACCACCCUUGUAUGUUUGAUGUUCUAACGCAGGGCCCUGAAUCGGGCUCGCGGACAGUGCCUGGUGGGUAGUUUGACUGGGGCGGUCUCCUCCCAAAGAGUAACGGAGGAGCACGAAGGUUGGCUAAUCCUGGUCGGACAUCAGGAGGUUAGUGCAAUGGCAUAAGCCAGCUUAACUGCGAGACGGACAGGUCGAGCAGGUACGAAAGUAGGUCAUAGUGAUCCGGUGGUUCUGAAUGGAAGGGCCAUCGCUCAACGGAUAAAAGGUACUCCGGGGAUAACAGGCUGAUACCGCCCAAGAGUUCAUAUCGACGGCGGUGUUUGGCACCUCGAUGUCGGCUCAUCACAUCCUGGGGCUGAAGUCGGUCCCAAGGGUAUGGCUGUUCGCCAUUUAAAGUGGUACGCGAGCUGGGUUCAGAACGUCGUGAGACAGUUCGGUCCCUAUCUGCCGUGGGCGUUGGAUGAUUGAAGGGAGUUGCUCCUAGUACGAGAGGACCGGAGUGAACGAACCUCUGGUGUUCGGGUUGUCACGCCAGUGGCACUGCCCGGUAGCUAAGUUCGGAAUCGAUAACCGCUGAAAGCAUCUAAGCGGGAAGCGAGCCCUGAGAUGAGUCAUCCCUGACCCCUUGAGGGUCCUAAAGGGCCGUUGGAGACCACAACGUUGAUAGGUGGGGUGUGUAAGUGCAGCGAUGCAUUGAGCUAACCCAUACUAAUUACCCGUGAGGCUUAACCAU
rnacentral:rRNA from 1 species